AUUGAACGCUGGCGGCAUGCUUUACACAUGCAAGUCGAACGGCAGCACGGGGGCAACCCUGGUGGCGAGUGGCGAACGGGUGAGUAAUGCAUCGGAACAUACCCAGUCGUGGGGGAUAACGUAGCGAAAGUUACGCUAAUACCGCAUACGUCCUGAGGGAGAAAGCGGGGGAUCGCAAGACCUCGCGCGAUUGGAGUGGCCGAUGUCAGAUUAGCUAGUUGGUGGGGUAAAGGCCCACCAAGGCGACGAUCUGUAGCGGGUCUGAGAGGAUGAUCCGCCACACUGGAACUGAGACACGGUCCAGACUCCUACGGGUGGCAG
rnacentral:rRNA from 1 species